rnacentral:ncRNA from 1 species
GGGUGGCUGUGAAAAUCGCAGCUUCGACGGGAAACCGUCGUUGAAACAUCGAGUGAAUUCAGGGAAGCCUACGUCCGGGUACGGAUAGGGUAAUCCUGAGCCAAGCCUGCUGAACAGGUUUCGCAUGAGUAGGCAGGAAGGUGCAGAGACUAGGAAUAAGGACGCCUGACCAAUAAAUUCCACAAGCGCUCGACGCCCUAACGAGUCAGGUCGAGGGUGAUGAGAUAGUCCAGGCCUAUGAGAAAUCAUGGG